AUGAACGCUGGCGGCGUGCCUAAUACAUGCAAGUCGAGCCAACAGACGAGGAGCUUGCUCCUCUGACGUUAGCGGCGUACGGGUGAGUAACACGUUGAUAACCUACCUAUAAGUCUGUGAUAACUUCGGGAAACCGGAGCUAAUACCGGAUAAUAUAUUUAACCGCAUGUUUCAAUAGUGAAAGACGGUUUUGCUGUCACUUAUAGAUGGAUGCGCGCCUCAUUAGAUAGUUGGUAAGGUAACGGCUUACCAAGGCAACGAUGCGUAGCCGACCUGACAGGGAGAUCGGCCACACUGGAACUGAGACACGGUCCAGACUCCUACGGGAGGCAGCAGUAGGGAAUCUUCCGCAAUGGGCGAAAGCCUGACGGAGCAACGCCGCGGGAGUGAUGAAGGUCUUCGGAUCGUAAAACUCUGUUAUUAGAGAAGAACAAAUGUGUAAGUAACUAUGCACGUCUUGACGGUACCUAAGCAGAAAGCCACGGCUAACUACGU
rnacentral:rRNA from 1 species